AGUAAAAUGUUGAGAGAAUCUAAAACAAACCAAAAAACCCUAAAAACUUACUGGAAAUGCCAGCAAGUGUGAUGGAGUGGGAUUCCAGUCACGGAACACGUGCAGCUGUUGGCCAUGUGGAACUACACAGAGUCGCCAAUGACAGCUCACCAUUGGCAGAGGCGGGGCCAAGAGCAGCCACAGCCACAGCCACAGCAAGACUGGUCCCACGUGCUUCGGUCCCAGUUCCCGAAAUUAACCCUUAUCCUGCAGCUCCACGUGACGGCAUUUCCUGCCCUUGCUUUUGACUUGAUCAGUGGAUCCCUUCCAACCAGUAACCUCUUCAUGUUGGUUGGGACUGACACGCACCAACCAAGCUCCCACGAUCCAGGCUGGCUUAUUGAUGGGUCAAAAUUUCAGUUAAUUGGUUGACUACGAGAAAUCGAACAACUGUGGACCCUGGAACAAUUGGGCUGAUGAUGGAUCUCCCUGCUUAUCGGCCACUUGGACCUCAGUUUCCUCAUCUGCAAAAUGGGAAGAUAUAGAAACCCAUCUGGGGAGUUACUGUAAGAAUUAAAUGAGAUGAAUAAGCAAAGCACUUGCUUUAUUUCCCUGUCUCCUCGUUUACUGACCUCCCACCUAACAGGGGUACAUGGAAAAUCCAAGCAGGGUGGACUCAGGAACCUACAGCCCCGGUUCACUCGAAGCUCCAGUCCCAUCUCUGCCCCAGCCUGGCCGGGUGCCAGUAGGAAAAUCCCUUUUGCAUCUCUGGGCUUUGUUUCUUCCUCUUAAAGGGAGGGUCCCCUGUCCCACCAUCCACCCACACAGCUCUUCCAGCCCAGACCUUCUGGCUGCUUGUCACACCACCAUUCAUUAGGUUCUUACAUAUUCCUGGGGGUUUGAGACACGCCCAGAUCUCUGUGAUACACACUCUGAUCUCACAGGAUUCCUUGGCUUGCUUGCAUCUCUAGAAAGGAGAGGCGGCUUGGGUCAUGCUCAAGGUUGACAACUAACUACAUUAUCUCGAGCCGAGGCUGGUGGCACAUUUGUGAAGACACAACCCCCUCCCCACCCAUAUUACCUUAUCUUUAUCGAAACUUUAGAAGAAUUGGAGCCAAAGCAUUUCCCAUGUUCAUUGUUUUCCUGACUGAGGCUCACAAGGAUGCCACCCAAUCUCUACAGUGUUGUUCAGAUGAAUACUUCUGGGAAACAGUUUAGUUGGGUGGUACAGAUAACUGCAUCUAAAAGUCAUUUUCACUUCCUGAGCAAUUCUCCAUGGUUCAUUCUUGCCUAGGUUUUAUUAAAAUAAGAUUUGUGCCCCCCCCCCCAUGAUAAAAGUAGUGCAUAUUCACCAUAAAGUAUCUAGGAAGUACAGACUAGCACGAAGAAAUACAUGAAAACUACCCACGUCCCACUCAGACAACCACUGCCAACAUUCUGAUGGGUCCCUCUGCAGGAAAACAUAUGAUGUUUAUACAGAAAAAUGCACAACACUAAUUGCGUAUUGUAACAAUAUUUUCAUGUAUGGAUGUGUAUGUUUUUCUUUUACAAAUUUCAGGCUUAGAAUUUCAUUUCAUGUAAAACUUAUUUUGUUGCCCAGCUGGUCUGGCUCGGUGGUUGCACAGCAACCUAUGAACCAGGAGGUCAUGGUUCAAUUCCCAAUCAGGGCACAUGUCCUUGGUUGCAGGCUCAAUCCCCAGUAGGGGGCGUGCAGGAAGCAGCCGAUUGAUGAUUCUCAGCAUUGAUGUUUCUCUCUCUCUCCCUCUCCCUUUCUCUCUGAAAUCAAUAAAAGUAUAUAUUUAAAACAACAAACUGAUUUU